UAUAAGUUUUAUUCUUGCUUAUACUAUUAAUUUUUUAUUAAAAUUAUAUGAAUAUUUUUUAAUUUAAAUUUUUCAGUAAUAAGUAUUACUAAUUAUUUUUAUUUUUAUUAAGUUAUUUAAUUAUAUUGGAUUAAAAUUGUGCCAGCAGUCGCGGUUAUACAAUUUAUUAAAUUUAAUACUUUAAGUAUUAAUUANUUUUUUUUUUGAAAAUAAGUUAUUUAUAUUUAGGUGGAAUUUAUUUAAUCAAAUAUUUUCUUUUAAAUUUUUAUUAAAUUUUAAUUUAAAACUAGGAUUAGAUACCCUAUUAUUUUUAAUUUAAUUUUUUGCUUGAAUAUUAACAGUUAAUUUCUGUUAAACUCAAAGAAUUUGGCGGUAAUUAAUUUUUUUAGAGGAAUUUGGUUUUUAAUUGAUAAACCACGAUAGAUUUAACUUUAUUUUUAUUUGUAUAUCUCUAUAAUUUGGAAUGUUAUAAUAAUAUAUUUUCUUUCUUUUUUAUAAAAAAUAUGUUAGGUCAAGGUGCAGUUUUAGUGAAGUAAAUUUGAAUUACUUUAAUAUUAUAUAUUAUCAUUAAAUUAUGUAUUUUUUUUAUUAAAUAGAAUUUAACAGUAAUUUUGAAUAAUUAUUUAAACUGAAUAUAAUACUAAAUUAUGUACAUAUUGCCCGUCACUCUCAUUUAAGUUGAGAUAAGUCGUAACAAAGUAAUUUUACUGGAAAGUGAGGUUAGAAUGA
rnacentral:ncRNA from 1 species